GGACCAUCAAUUUGACCAGCAACCAACGGCUAAAGGUUCAACUCUUCACCAUGAUUAUAUGGUGUGAGAACAGCAUGCCAAGAUGUUCCAGUGGAUACUGCAUUAAUAAAAACAAUGGAUUUUGUGAUGGCAUUGAAGAUUGCUGGGAUGGAGAAGAUGAAGCAACUUGUGAUUGUGAAAUAUCCCAUCCCACUGAUUGCUCGUCAGUAGUGACCCUCACUGGAAGCAAGUAUAGAAAUCCUUGCCAAGGCUCUCUU